CCUACGGGAGGCAGCAGUGAGGAAUAUUGGUCAAUGGGCUUACGCCUGAACCAGCCAAGUCGCGUGAGGGAAGACUGCCCUAUGGGUUGUAAACCUCUUUUGUCAGGGAGCAACGCCGGCUACGUGUAGCCGGACUGAGAGUACCUGAAGAAAAAGCAUCGGCUAACUCCGUGCCAGCAGCCGCGGUAAUACGGAGGAUGCGAGCGUUAUCCGGAUGUAUUGGGUUUAAAGGGUGCGUAGGCGGAAUGCCAAGUCAGCGGUAAAAUCGCGGGGCUCAACCUCGCUCCGCCGUUGAAACUGGCGUUCUUGAGUGGGCGAGAAGUAUGCGGAAUGCGUGGUGUAGCGGUGAAAUGCAUAGAUAUCACGCAGAACUCCGAUUGCGAAGGCAGCAUACCGGCGCCCAACUGACGCUGAAGCACGAAAGCGUGGGUAUCGGACAGGAUUAGAUACCCGGGUAGUC
rnacentral:rRNA from 1 species